CACGUAGGGGGCGAGCGUUGUCCGGAUUUAUUGGGCGUAAAGAGCUCGUAGGCGGUUCGGCAAGUCGGGUGUGAAAUUUCGAGGCUCAACCUCGAAACGCCACUCGAUACUGCUGUGACUGGAGUCCGGUAGAGGAGUGCGGAAUUCCUGGUGUAGCGGUGAAAUGCGCAGAUAUCAGGAGGAACACCGGUGGCGAAGGCGGGUCUCUGGGCCGAUACUGACGCCGAGGAGCGAAAGCGUGGGGAGCAAACAGG
rnacentral:rRNA from 1 species